GGGGAAUAUUGGGCAAUGGGGGAAACCCUGACCCAGCAACGCCGCGUGAAGGAAGAAGGUUUUCGGAUUGUAAACUUCUGUUCUUGGUGAAGAGAAGAAGACGGUAGCCAAGGAGGAAGCCCCGGCUAACUACGUGCCAGCAGCCGCGGUAAUACGUAGGGGGCGAGCGUUGUCCGGAAUGAUUGGGCGUAAAGGGCGCGUAGGCGGCGAUGCAAGUCGGUAGUGGAAGUCCUGUUUUCAAGGCAGGAAUUGCUAUUGAAACUGCAUGGCUUGAGUGCAGGAGAGGUUAUCGGAAUUCCCGGUGUAGCGGUGAAAUGCGUAGAGAUCGGGAGGAACACCAGUGGCGAAGGCGGGUAACUGGACUGCAACUGACGCUGAGGCGCGAAAGUGUGGGGAGCAAAC
rnacentral:rRNA from 1 species